AGGUAAGCUACUAAGAGCGAAUGGUGGAUGCCUUGACUGGUAAAGGCGAUGAAGGACGUACUAGACUGCGAUAAGCUACGGGGAGCUGUCAAGAAGCUUUGAUCCGUAGAUUUCCGAAUGGGGCAACCCAAUGUAUAGAGAUAUACAUUACCUAUAUAGGAGCGAACGAGGGGAAUUGAAACAUCUUAGUACCCUCAGGAAAAGAAAUCAAUAGAGAUUGCGUCAGUAGCGGCGAGCGAAAGCGCAAGAGGGCAAACCCAGUGCUUGCACUGGGGGUUGUAGGACUGCAAUGUGCAAGAGGUGAGUUUAGCAGAACAUUCUGGAAAGUAUAGCCAUAGAGGGUGAUAGUCCCGUAUGCGAAAAACAAACCUUAGCUAGCAGUAUCCUGAGUAGGGCGGGACACGAGAAAUCCUGUCUGAAGCUGGGUCGACCACGAUCCAACCCUAAAUACUAAUACCAGAUCGAUAGUGCACAAGUACCGUGAGGGAAAGGUGAAAAGAACUGAGGUGAUCAGAGUGAAAUAGAACCUGAAACCAUUUGCUUACAAUCAUUCAGAGCCCUAUGUAGCAAUACAGGGUGAUGGACUGCCUUUUGCAUAAUGAGCCUGCGAGUUGUGGUGUCUGGCAAGGUUAAGCAAACGCGAAGCCGUAGCGAAAGCGAGUCUGAAUAGGGCGCUUAGUCAGAUGCUGCAGACCCGAAACGAAGUGAUCUAUCCAUGAGCAAGUUGAAGCUAGUGUAAGAACUAGUGGAGGACUGAACCCAUAGGCGUUGAAAAGCCCCGGGAUGACUUGUGGAUAGGGGUGAAAGGCCAAUCAAACUUCGUGAUAGCUGGUUCUCUCCGAAAUAUAUUUAGGUAUAGCGUUGUGUCGUAAUAUAAGGGGGUAGAGCACUGAAUGGGCUAGGGCAUACACCAAUGUACCAAACCCUAUCAAACUCCGAAUACCUUAUAUGUAAUCACAGCAGUCAGGCGGCGAGUGAUAAAAUCCGUCGUCAAGAGGGAAACAACCCAGACUACCAGCUAAGGUCCCUAAAUCUUACUUAAGUGGAAAACGAUGUGAAGUUACUUAAACAACCAGGAGGUUGGCUUAGAAGCAGCCAUCCUUUAAAGAAAGCGUAAUAGCUCACUGGUCUAGUGAUUUUGCGCGGAAAAUAUAACGGGGCUAAAGUAAGUACCGAAGCUGUAGACUUGCGCACAACUUAGAUUAUUUAAGUUUAGAAUAUGAGAAACUAAGUUAUAUGUUUAGUUAUAUUUUUACUGAUUUUUAUAGAGUAAAGAUAGAAAUAAAACUUAGUAAAAUCAGUAAAAAUAUUCUUAGACUAAAGUUAAGUAGUUUAAGUUGUGUGCAAGUGGUAGGAGAGCGUUCUAUUUGCGUCGAAGGUAUACCGGUAAGGAGUGCUGGAGCGAAUAGAAGUGAGCAUGCAGGCAUGAGUAGCGAUAAUUAAUGUGAGAAUCAUUAACGCCGUAAACCCAAGGUUUCCUACGCGAUGCUCGUCAUCGUAGGGUUAGUCGGGUCCUAAGUCGAGUCCGAAAGGGGUAGACGAUGGCAAAUUGGUUAAUAUUCCAAUACCAACAUUAGUGUGCGAUGGAAGGACGCUUAGGGCUAAGGGGGCUAGCGGAUGGAAGUGCUAGUCUAAGGUCGUAGGAGGUUAUACAGGCAAAUCCGUAUAACAAUACUCCGAGAACUGAAAGGCUUUUUGAAGUCUUCGGAUGGAUAGAAGAACCCCUGAUGCCGUCGAGCCAAGAAAAGUUUCUAAGUUUAGCUAAUGUUGCCCGUACCGUAAACCGACACAGGUGGGUGGGAUGAGUAUUCUAAGGCGCGUGGAAGAACUCUCUUUAAGGAACUCUGCAAAAUAGCACCGUAUCUUCGGUAUAAGGUGUGGUUCGCUUCGUAUUAGGAUUUACUCCGAAAGCGAAGAAACUUACAACAAAGAGUCCCUCCCGACUGUUUACCAAAAACACAGCACUCUGCUAACUCGUAAGAGGAUGUAUAGGGUGUGACGCCUGCCCGGUGCUCGAAGGUUAAUUGAUGGGGUUAGCAUUAGCGAAGCUCUUGAUCGAAGCCCGAGUAAACGGCGGCCGUAACUAUAACGGUCCUAAGGUAGCGAAAUUCCUUGUCGGUUAAAUACCGACCUGCAUGAAUGGCGUAACGAGAUGGGAGCUGUCUCAAAGAGGGAUCCAGUGAAAUUGUAGUGGAGGUGAAAAUUCCUCCUACCCGCGGCAAGACGGAAAGACCCCGUGGACCUUUACUACAGCUUGACACUGCUAUUUGGAUAAGAAUGUGCAGGAUAGGUGGGAGGCUUUGAGUAUAUGACGCCAGUUGUAUAUGAGCCAUUGUUGAGAUACCACUCUUUCUUAUUUGGGUAGCUAACCAGCUUGAGUUAUCCUCAAGUGGGACAAUGUCUGGUGGGUAGUUUGACUGGGGCGGUCGCCUCCCAAAUAAUAACGGAGGCUUACAAAGGUUGGCUCAGAACGGUUGGAAAUCGUUCGUAGAGUAUAAAGGUAUAAGCCAGCUUAACUGCAAGACAUACAAGUCAAGCAGAGACGAAAGUCGGUCUUAGUGAUCCGGUGGUUCUGUGUGGAAGGGCCAUCGCUCAAAGGAUAAAAGGUACCCCGGGGAUAACAGGCUGAUCUCCCCCAAGAGCUCACAUCGACGGGGAGGUUUGGCACCUCGAUGUCGGCUCAUCGCAUCCUGGGG
rnacentral:rRNA from 1 species